rnacentral:rRNA from 1 species
UACGUAGGGUGCAAGCGCUGUCCGGAAUUAUUGGGCGUAAAGAGCUCGUAGGCGGUUUGUCGCGUCGAAUGUGAAAACUCGGGGCUUAACUCCGGGCCUGCAGUGGGUACGGGCUGACUAGAGUGCGGUAGGGGAGACUGGAAUUCCUGGUGUAGCGGUGAAAUGCGCAGAUAUCAGGAGGAACACCGGUGGCGAAGGCGGGUCUCUGGGCCGUAACUGACGCUGAGGAGCGAAAGCGUGGGGAGCGAACAGG